rnacentral:tRNA from 1 species
GGUGUGGUGGCCAAGCGGUAAGGCGUUGGUCUCGUAAACCAAAGAUCGUGGGUUCGAUCCCCAUCCAUACCU